AUUGAACGCUGGCGGCAGGCUUAACACAUGCAAGUCGAACGAGUGGCGGACGGGUGCGUAAUGCUUGGGAAUAUAGCUUAUGGAGGGGGAUAACUAAGGGAAACUGUAGCUAAUACCGCGUACCAUAGGAUGAGCCCAAGUGGGAUUAGGUAGUUGGUGAGGUAAAGGCUCACCAAGCCGACGAUCUCUAGCUGGUCUGAGAGGAUGACCAGCUACACUGGGACUGGGACACGACCCAUACUCCUACGGGAGGAAGCAGUGGGGAGUAUUGAGCAAUGGGGGAAACCUGACGCAGCCAUGCCGCGUGAAUGAAGAAGGCCUUCGGGUUGUAAAGUUCUUUCGGUAGCGAGGCGUUAACUACAGAAGAAGCACCGGCUAACUCCGUGCCAGCAGCCGCGGUAAUAC
rnacentral:rRNA from 1 species